GCUGCAUGUCUUUUUCGUGGGGGGUGAUCCUCUGCAGAUCCCCCCAUUUGCGGACCCGCCAUGUGGAGGAGGCAUUUGGGGGGCUCAGAAGGAAAUUAGCUCGGCUUCCAUACCUAUAAGGACUGCCUAACUUUUAAACUCCCGGCACUCAAAGAUGUGGACACACACACGUACAGGAAAUACAGCCAGACCAGAGCCUUUGCAGUCCGCAGCUGACCGGAAGACGUUGCCUUUCAUUCAUUCAUUCUGCCCGCCUCUGUGGACUCCUUUACUAGGCGACCAGCCCUGAAACAGAAGUUGGACAUUUUUUAAAGGUUCUUGCGCUCGGCAAGGGGAGCAGAUAGAUGCUCAGGAGCGAAAGACGCAGAGAAUUGGAUCUGGCGCCUCCUAACGCAGCCCGCACAGGAGCGAAGGAGAGUGUGACGAUCCCCCUGAUGCGGCUGAGAUGUUCUGAAAUGAAGACGUUGGCUCUCAUCCCCAGCCUGAAGAGAGAAAAUUCUGAGAUGGCUCCCUUACAGAUUGAGAGCAGGUGAGUUUACCUCUACUCUCACGCAAAACUCUCAUUCAGAACACCUGUCACAACUAAUAGACUACUCACGUGUCCACAGUCUAACACCACUCAAUAAAAGGAAAAUUCCCCGUCUAAUCCCAGCACUACAGGAGGCCAAGGCAGGAGGCUCACUUGAGAGCCCAGAAGUUUGAGAACAGCCUAGGCAACAUAAUUAGGCCCUGUCUCUGUUAAAAAAAAAAAAAAAAAAAAAGGAAAAGUCUCUGAGGAGUCUGAGGAGACCAACCUUGUUCGUCCUCUUCACUAUUUUAUUUAUUUAUUUAUUUAUUUAUUUAUUUAUUUUGAGACAGAGUCUCGCUCUGUCGCCCAGGCUGGAGUGCAGUGGCACCAAUCUCGGCUCACUGCAAGCUCCACCUCCCGGGUUCACGCCAUUCUCCUGCCUCAGCCUCCCCAGUAGCUAGGACCACAGGCGCCCACCAUCACACCCGGCUAAUUUUUUGUAUUUUUAGUACAGACGGGGUUUCACCGUGUUAGCCAAGUUGGUCUCGAUCUCCUGACCUCGUGAUCCACCCGCCUCAGCCUCCCAAAGUGCUGGGAUUACAGGUGUGAGCCACUGCACCCGGCCUCUUCACUGUUUAUUUUCAGGUCCUAGGACCCAGCUCAUAAAACAUACUCAACGAAUGUUUGUUGAAUGAAUGAAUUCCUCAACCUCCAAAACUAUGUAUAUUUUCAGCUUGAUCAACUAUCCUUAAAGUGUACCUCUUUGAACAAGAUACCGGCUGGGUGCGGUGGCUCAUGCCUGUAAUCCCAGCACUUUGGGAGGCCAAGGCAGGCAGAUCACCUGAAGUCAGGAGUUUGAGACCAGCCUUGCCAACAUGGUGAAACCCUAUCUCUACUAAAAAUACAAAAAUUAGCCGGGCAUUGUGGUGGGCACCUGUAGUCCCAGCUACUCAGGAGGCCGAGGCAGGAGAAUCGCUUGAACCCGGAAGGUUAAGGUUGCAGUGAGCCGAGAUGGCGCAGCUGCACUCCAGCCUGGGUGACAGAGUGAAACUGUGUCUCAAAAAAAAAAAAGUCCUGACACACUGGCUCACGCCUGUAAUCCUAGCACUUUGGGAGGCCAAGACGAGCAGAUUGCCUGAACUCAGGAGUUUGAGACCAGCCUGGGUAACAUGGUGAAACCCCGUGUCUACUAAAACACAAAAAAUUAGCCAGGGGUCGCAGUGUGCGCUUGUAGUUCCAGCUACUCGGAAGGUUGAAGCAGAAUUGCUUGAACCCAACAGGCGGAGGUGCAGUGAGCUGAGAUCAUGCCACUGCACUCCAGCCUGGGUGACAGAGGCAAGACUCCGUCUCCAAAAAAAAAAGAUACCAAGUUUCUUAGAGGUAUAAAAAAUACGUUGGUGUGCCUUGGCGAGGCGGGAACACCUUUCUAGCUCCAAAGUCCAGACCCUUACCCACUCUAUUCCACACUGCCACCCUUAUUCAUGACACCUGUUGCACACAAACUGAGUCAUGGGGACCAGCCAUCAUUGCUCGCAGCUGAGGCCUAAAAACGCGUACCCUGCGUCCCCUCCACCGCCACCAGCCAGCAGUCUGGGAGGCACCCCUAGCUCAUGAUGCCGGGUAGAGGAGGGGCCGCUGUUUGCAUGUGACUCUAGCUUCCUCACUGCUAGGCUGUGCCUAAUUAUUUUAUUUUUAUUUAUUUAUCUAUCUAUUUAUUUAUUUAUUUAUUGAGACGGAGUCUUGCUCUGUCGCCCAGGCUCGAGUGCAGUAGCGCCAUCUUGGCUCACUGCAAGCUCCGCCUCCCGGGUUCACGCCAUUCUCCUGCCUCAGCCUCCCAAGGAGCUGGGACUACAGGCGCCCGCCACCACGCCCGGCUAAUUUUUUGUAUUUUUAAUAGAUACGGGGUUUCACCGUGCUAGCCAGGAUGAUCUCGAUCUACUGACCUCGUGAUCCGCCCGCCUCGGCCUCCCAAAGUGCUGGGAUUAUAGGCGUGAGCCACCGCGCCCGGCGGCUGUGGCUAAUUAUUAGGUAACUAGCGUCGUUGGGUCUCCCUACCUGAAGGCCUAAAGGCUGGAGAUAAGAGGGCUGAAGGGGAGUAGAGCCAGGACUGGUGGGCCUGGGAGCCACCAAUAGUCCCAGAAGAUCCUACGGGGACUUUGCCUUCUGCUCCUGAUCUCUGGAAUCGAUUCAUCAGCCUGAGCUUCGACUCCAGCCUCUGCAUCCGCUUCUCCCAAGGUGAUUCCUCAAUGUCUGCUCUGGGCACCUCAUGGAUGCAUCGCAAGGGCUUUAGGGAGUCCUCUGCUCACAGGGAUUGACCUACCCGCUUGCCAGGUCUCAAGCUCUUGAGAGAAAGCCUGAUGCUCUUUUUGUCUUCACCUCCAUCCUAGGCACUGGGUAGGAACACAGCCAAGAACGAUUGCAGGAUGGGUCCUUCCAGGACACUGACGUCUCAGCUUGCGCACUGUGAGUCCCUGGACGAGUUACUCCACCUCUCUGAACCUCCUCCUCACUUGCAUAAUGGGAAAAAUAAUGGACAUAGGAAGAUGAAACAAGACCUUGGAGACCA
rnacentral:lncRNA from 1 species